CGCGGCCUAUCAGCUUGUUGGUGAGGUAACGGCUCACCAAGGCAUCGACGGGUAGCUGGUCUGAGAGGAUGAUCAGCCACACUGGGACUGAGACACGGCCCAGACUCCUACGGGAGGCAGCAGUGGGGAAUCUUGCACAAUGGGCGAAAGCCUGAUGCAGCAACGCCGCGUGCGGGAAGAAGGCCUUAGGGUUGUAAACCGCUUUCAGCAGGGAAGAAAAUGACGGUACCUGUAGAAGAAGGUGCGGCCAACUACGUGCCAGCAGCCGCGGUGACACGUAGGCACCAAGCGUUGUCCGGAUUUAUUGGGCGUAAAGAGCUCGUAGGCGGUUCGGUAAGUCGGGUGUGAAAACUCUGGGCUCAACCCAGAGCCGCCACCCGAUACUGCUGUGACUUGAGUUCGGUAGGGGAGCGGGGAAUUCCUGGUGUAGCGGUGAAAUGCGCAGAUAUCAGGAGGAACACCAGUGGCGAAGGCGCCGCUCUGGGCCGACACUGACGCUGAGGAGCGAAAGCGUGGGUAGCAAACAGGAUUAGAUACCCUGGUAGUCCACGCCGUAAACGUUGGGCACUAGGUGUGGGUCUCAACCAACGAGAUCCGCGCCGUCGCUAACGCAUUAAGUGCCCCGCCUGGGGAGUACGG
rnacentral:rRNA from 1 species